GAUGAACGCUGGCGGCGUGCUUAACACAUGCAAGUCGAACGAUGAAGCCGGAGCUUGCUCUGGUGGAUUAGUGGCGAACGGGUGAGUAACACGUGAGUAACCUGCCCUUGACUCUGGGAUAAGCGCUGGAAACGGCGUCUAAUACCGGAUACGAGCUUCCACCGCAUGGUGAGUCGCUGGAAAGAAUUUCGGUCAAGGAUGGACUCGCGGCCUAUCAGCUUGUUGGUGAGGUAACGGCCCACCAAGGCGACGACGGGUAGCCGGCCUGAGAGGGUGACCGGCCACACUGGGACUGAGACACGGCCCAGACUCCUACGGGAGGCAGCAGUGGGGAAUAUUGCACAAUGGGCGCAAGCCUGAUGCAGCAACGCCGCGUGAGGGACGAAGGCCUUCGGGUCGUAAACCUCUUUUAGCAGGGAAGAAGCGAAAGUGACGGUACCUGCAGAAAAAGCACCGGCUAACUACGUGCCAGCAGCCGCUGUAA
rnacentral:rRNA from 1 species